rnacentral:rRNA from 1 species
UAGGGAAUCUUCGGCAAUGGACGAAAGUCUGACCGAGCAACGCCGCGUGAGUGAAGAAGGUUUUCGGAUCGUAAAACUCUGUUGGUAGAGAAGAACGUUGGUGAGAGUGGAAAGCUCAUCAAGUGACGGUAACUACCCAGAAAGGGACGGCUAACUACGUGCCAGG